GAAGCCAUAGCUCAGUAGGUAGAGCAUCGGACCUUUAAUCCGACUGUCGCAGGUUCGAAGCCUGCUGGCUUCACCA
rnacentral:tRNA from 1 species